UACGGGGGGGGCAAGCGUUGUUCGGAAUUACUGGGCGUAAAGGGCGCGUAGGCGGCCUGCUAAGUCGGAUGUGAAAUCCCUCGGCUCAACCGAGGAACUGCAUCCGAUACUGGCGGGCUUGAAUCCGGGAGAGGGAUGUGGAAUUCCAGGUGUAGCGGUGAAAUGCGUAGAUAUCCGGAGGAACACCGGUGGCGAAGGCGGCUUCCUGGACCGAUUACUGACGCUGAGGCGCGAAAGCUAGGGGAGCAAACGGG
rnacentral:rRNA from 1 species